CAAUUCUCCACCAAGGAGUGCAGUCACAGAUUUAAUUAACACAUUUUUUUAACAAGCGUCAUCAGGAUGGAAGUGUGUCCUCUCGAAUGGUGGCUGAAGCAUUCAAAGCAGCAAAGAGUCCUGUG